AAGAUUCUUCGGGGGCGAAUAGGGAACCGCAAGCGCACGGCUUCCGGCCCGCCGUCGUUCUUCACACCCAGCAAAUCCAGUCAAAUGUCGGCGUCCGAGACCCGAAAGGGGAAGCAAGUCUCGAGAGCAAAACCGACCCCUCUCUUCCCUUCCAAUGGGCGGAACUAGGUAGAUUUCUUUCGAUUCCCCCUCAUCCUUCUCCCCACCCUCUUUCUCUCUCUCCUAUUAAUUUCCAUCCUCGCCUUUCAAACUUUUGGCAUCUCUGCUGGCCUGCCUGUCUCUCUCUUCCUCUUUCCGCUUCUUGCAGCUAAAGGCGACCACCACAGUAUCUCUGUUAUGCUCCUCUGAAAUGGUAUUUUAGUUCAAAGGCGUGCUCUGUUCUGCCAACAUAGAGCAUUUGGUGAUCGGACACUGGGAAUAGGUUUCUGGAGAUGAUGGAGUCAGCCAAGGGUCGAUCGGAGGUGGAGUUCCCCGGCCGUGCCGUCUCGCCUUGUUGGAAGAAGAAGGCGCCCGACGCCGGCUUCUUGGCCAACGUCAAGGACCACUUGGACCAGUUCGUCAGCACGCCCAUGGAUCAGCAUAGGAUUUGUCUCAAGAAGACGAUCAGAGGGGUAGGUGACCUCGUCAAGCUUAGGAAGCAAAGCAAGGAAGCAAGGCAAGCUAUUGCGUCGUCGGAUUCCGCUUCCAAAGACGGAGACGUGGAUACGUCGAGGUAGGAUGAGAUCUGCAGUGCCUCAGCUGCUGCGACGGAGCAUUCUUGUAAAUGGCAAUUGAUCUGCAGAACACAUUCUGGCAAAAUUCAGUGUGAUCACUCGAUACUAUAGAUAAAAAUAAAAAAAAAGGCAUCUUCUUCUUCUUCUUCUUCAAGAAUAAAGCACUAACCAUGUUGAUUUAUUGCGCAUCCUGCAAAUUCCAUGGCUUUUAUUGUUUGGCUUGACGAUUUCCAUGAAGAUCUUUUCUAGUGUCUUGCAUACUUCUUCGCUAAGAUGCACUGACAGCGUCCCCUUAUCUAUUCGGAGAGAAAUUUGGAAAAGGGUGGUGUUCCUUUGUUCGGAGAAAAAGAGCGAAGCGAAGUUGACUUCUCGCGUGCGCCAACUCAGUAGGGAACCGUCGAAACUUUACAGCCUGUGUUUGGUGAAUGGAGUUAGAUCAAACUGCAUCACUGCAUUAGGUUCCUCUUCCUCUUGCUUGGUUCACUUGUCUAAACCUGUAGUGGCAGGCAUAUGUAGUUGCUCAAAAUUCAGUAGAAAGAUUGGAAAAAGCUUGGGAGAUAGAACAAAGGAAGGAUUCGGUAUUGCAUAUGAUGGGUGGACAAACCCAUCUCAAAAGAAAAUAUCUUUUGUUUUCCUAAUGAGUAGUGGGGUAUGAUAUUAGCGUUUUCAACUUGUUUAGGGGGUGGCAGAGGGUAACGUCAAAUGGGAAGGCACCGUGGGACGAGCCGUCCCGUCCAAGCUUUGAUACGGAGCACGCAUGACUCCGUACUCCGCCCACAGCCCAGUGAGAUGUUUGUUUUGUCUGGGCAAUUCAAGCUGGCUUGUUAUUCGCAAGCCAAUCUAAGUAGCUAUUUUUGAUAUCACGUUUCAAAUGUAAGCUAGAAAAGCUUGGGAAUUCAGAUCCCUGCAGCUGGAUUCUGCUGUAUGAUUAGAUUAGAUUAGAUUGUAGGAAUUGGAUUGUAUAAAAUAAUUUGA